rnacentral:rRNA from 1 species
AUUGAACGCUGGCGGCAUGCCUUACACAUGCAAGUCGAACGGUAACAGGUCUUCGGAUGCUGCCGAGUGGCGAACGGGUGAGUAAUACAUCGGAACGUGCCCGAUCGUGGGGGAUAACGAAGCGAAAGCUUUGCUAAUACCUCAUACGAUCUACGGAUGAAAGCGGGGGAUCUUCGGACCUCGCGCGGACGGAGCGGCCGAUGGCAGAUUAGGUAGUUGGUGGGAUAAAAGCUUACCAAGCCGACGAUCUGUAGCUGGUCUGAGAGGAUGAUCAGCCACACUGGGACUGAGACACGGCCCAGACUCCUACGGGAGGCAGCAGUGGGGAAUUUUGGACAAUGGGCGCAAGCCUGAUCCAGCCAUGCCGCGUGCAGGAUGAAGGCCUUCGGGUUGUAAACUGCUUUUGUACGGAACGAAAAGGUGCCUUCUAAUAAAGGGCGCUCAUGACGGUACCGGAAGAAUAAGCACCGGCUAACUACGUG